CCACUUAAACUCAACAUUUUCCCGGGGCAGCGAACACUGAAUGACCUGCUCAAAACCAACAGCAAGGUCCGCUAUGAGGGAGUCGAAAACAAAACAACAAAAUGCACGUGGUAGAAACAAACUAACUUCUGAUCAUUCUGGAUGCAAAUGGAGCAGUGUCAUGGUGUCGUCUGUCAUUAGUUAGAGAAACGAUUCUUGCUGUUUUAAUCUGUCUGAAAUGUCCCGCUCAUCUGUCGCGUUAUAGUUGGAAACAACAUUUGUCGCUCCCGGUACUCGAUUGCAACAGCACACUGCCUGCUGUUAAAUAGUACGUAAUCCUCCAGCUCAUGCAUUAUGUUUCUCCACAUAACCUCCUGUGGAGGAGUCAACAGAAAGUCCAGCAGAGAAUUCCGGACAGAGAAAAGGAGCUGAAGGAUCUCAAAUAAACUAUAGCAUCUCUUAUUUAACCUUUAUUUAACUAGGCAAGUCAGUUAGGAACAAAUUCUUAUUUAUAAUGACAGCCUACCCCGGACAAACCCGGACGACGCUGGUCUAAUUGUGAGUAUUGAUAUACUCUCGCUACGUCUAACAACCUUUUAAUAGAAUAUAGGAUAUUGUGUGCCUACAACAACCAGAAGCAUCCGUCAACCCCUUGUCUUUUUUUUUUUAGCCUUGGUUUUAAUUUCUGUCCUAACAGCGGACUGCACACGCAUCAGUAAAGGAUAUCCGUCUCUCUCCAGUCUCAACAUAUAAUCAGACUUGCCCAGCAUCGAUGUAUGUCCUUGUAAGGCUAUGUCUGAGUUAACAGAGGCACUGUAGGACAUUAUUGAGGGGGAAUGGUCCAAGAUCUCCACCAAAGGUCAGUAAAAUAUUGUACCAGUAGUGGUCUCUAACUUUAGACUGAUUCAAAAUAUAUUUGCUAUGACAAAGACCGAUUUGAAGUCGAAAUGCGUCAGCGGAGGUGGGACCAAGUUAUUAUCAUUCAGUCACAAGCAAGUCUCAAGUCACAAGGUGCGAGUGUCAAGUCAAGUCACAAGUAGAACGGGUUGAGUCAAGUCCAAGUCAUGCAAAAUAAGAGCAAGUCGAGUAGAGUCACAAGUUUUGUCAAGUGUCUAUACAUGCAAUGACUUGUUCAACUAUAAAUCUUUGUCUAUUUAUUGAGGCUACCAGACUUUUCAUUAUUUUGUCUACAUCACAUUAUGAUUAUACAUUCAUUCAUUUGGAC
rnacentral:lncRNA from 1 species